GGAGUUUGUGUAACACCAGCUGAAACAAAUAUACAUCACUAUUAGGCUUCAGCUGAGUUUCAGGUCACUAAUCUCCCUCUAGAAUAUACCAAUUGCAAAUUGUAACCCAAAAUAUUAGGGAAACAACCAGCCUCACCGUUUCCAGAAGUUAGAAGCUCCAUAUGAAUGUGUAUCCGUUGCAGCUCCCAUGAGAUGAGUAUCAG
rnacentral:misc_RNA from 1 species